AUCAUCUCUAUAUCUCUCUCUCAAAACACACGCACCUAAUACUCUCCGCCAUCGCUCUUUGCCCUCGCUACUCCCCCUUUAGCGCCUGCACUACCGUCAGCCCUUGUUGUCUUUCUACGCCGCGGCUGACAUCGCAUCUCUGAGCAAGCAUAUUGUUCUCUCUCUACACUGGACUUGUAUAAAUAGGGCUCCACUCUUUGCAUCAAACCCAGGAAUGCUUCACGUGGUUUAUGUCAAUGUGAAAAGGAUUAAUGGAAAGCUGUCCAGAAGGGGCUUUGGAGCUCUGUCAUGUCACCUUAUGAGGAUAGAUAUAUUGAUGUUAAGUUCAUUGGUGAAAUUUCUGGUCCUGUCACAUUGACAGAUGAAGAUGAGUUUCAAAGAUGGCGUUUACUUUGUCUUGCUUUUGGUUUUGUUUUAUUGCUGUUGGCAUCAGUGGUCAGUAGUUGGGUUCCUUUCUAUUAUAGCAGUUCAAUGGAAAUAGGAGUUUUGCUUGUCAUUAUAAUCCUUCUUUUUCAGGUAUUUGGAUUUGGUGGCAUUGUACAGUAGUUUUUUUUCGAUCUGUUUCUUUUCA